rnacentral:lncRNA from 1 species
UCUUUUAGAGCUUGCCACGAGCCAAUCGUGGUCAUAAUCAAAAGGUUAAAAGAGAGAGAGAGAGAGUUUGAACAGUUAAGUAUAAUGAUUAUAAGUUUUAGAAAAAAAUAUAUGAACACCUCCUCAACUUUAGCCCAAUUUUACUUAUACCCUCUAUAUUUUAAAUAGUAUCAAACUAACACUCUUGGUCAUCGAUAUGUUUCAAUAUGGUCCAGCUAUUGACUUACCAACAAAAGAUAUUAGCUUUUUCUCUCAAUGGAUAGAAAUGCCCCUCGCUCAUAUGGGAGGGUUCACCAAUGAAGAAGAGGUAG